rnacentral:rRNA from 1 species
GACAGAGGGUGCAAACGUUGUUCGGAAUUACUGGGCGUAAAGCGUGUGUAGGCGGCCUUAUAAGUCGGAUGUGAAAGCCCCGGGCUCAACCCGGGAAGUGCACUCGAUACUGUGAGGCUCGAGUAUCGGAGAGGUUGGUGGAAUUCUCGGUGUAGAGGUGAAAUUCGUAGAUAUCGGGAGGAACACCGGUGGCGAAGGCGGCGAUCUGGGUAGAUACUGACGCUGAGGUGCGAAAGCGUGGGGAGCAAACAGG